rnacentral:tRNA from 1 species
GGGUGCGUAGCUCAGUUGGUAGAGCAACUGACUCUUAAUCAGUGGGUCCAGGGUUCGAAUCCCUGCGCGCCCACCA